rnacentral:rRNA from 1 species
AUUAGCUUGUUGGUGGGGUAACGGCUCACCAAGGCCACGAUGUCUAGGGGUUCUGAGAGGAAGGUCCCCCACACUGGAAUUGAGACACGGUCCAGACUCCUACGGGAGGCAGCAGUGAGGAAUAUUGGACAAUGGUCGGAAGACUGAUCCAGCCAUGCCGCGUGAAGGUUACGGUCCUAUGGAUUUUAAACUUCUUUUGUAUGGAAGCAAUAAGGUGCACGCGUGCAUCGAUGAGAGUACCAUACGAAUAAGCAUCGGCUAACUCCGUGCCAGCAGCCGCGGUAAUACGGAGGAUGCAAGCGUUAUCCGGAUUUAUUGGGUUUAAAGGGUGCGUAGGCGGAUUAAUAAGUCAGCGGUGAAACUCACAGGCUCAACCUGUGCCGUGCCGUUGAAACUGUUUAUCUUGAAUGCGGAUGCUGUGGGAGGAAUGUGUAGUGUAGCGGUGAAAUGCAUAGAUAUUACACAGAACACCGAUUGGGAAGGCAUCUCACAAACCCGUGAUUGACGUUGAGGCACGAAAGCGUGGGGAUCAAACAGGAUUAGAUACCCUGGUAGUCCACUACUGUAAAAGAGGAUAACUCGCUGCCGGCGAUAUAUAGUCGGUGGCCCAGCGAAAGCGAU